rnacentral:rRNA from 1 species
GUGCCUAACACAUGCAGGUCGAACGAGAAAGUGGAGCAAUCCAUGAGUAAAGUGGCGACCGGGUGAGUAACACGUGACUAACCUGCCCUUGAGUGGGGGAUAACCUCGGGAAACCGGGGCUAAUACCGCAUAACAUCGCAAGAUCAAAGGAGCAAUCCGCUGAAGGAGGGGGUCGCGGCUGAUUAGUUAGUUGGUGAGGUAACGGCUCACCAAGACGAAGAUCAGUAGCCGGCCUGAGAGGGCGCACGGCCACACUGGAACUGAAACACGGUCCAG